GGCAGGACCCAAUGUUGGAAAUGGACAUGGAGAAGUAAAAGCCAUGAGAUGAAGUUUGGAUUUUAUUCUGAAAGCCAAGGAAAGCCAUAGGCAGGUAAAAUUCCUAUUGAAGAGACUCCCAAAAUAAAGUAUAUCAUUGAGGGUCCCAUCAGGAGGCAGAACUAUUCAGUAGGCACAAUUAUUACCAUUUAGUGCAAGUGACAGCUUGAUUAAUUGUGAUGCCACUGCAUGCCAUGCAUUACUAGCAUCUCAUUUCCUACUGGCAAGGUGCCUAACUCUGCUUUCAAAUUCAAGGACACUUCCAAACCAAUUCACAACCUUGUCCUGGGUGGUCUUGGGUUUUUUGGGUACCAAAUUCUAUAAAUGUGAGAGGAUAUAGAAAUCGCAUAGCAAUUUUAAUGGAAGUAAUUUACUAUACAAGACGGUUAACUAGAAUUCAUCCAGCUAGGUGACAAAAAAGGGUAAAAAAAGAGAGAAUUCUAAGGAAAUAACUGCAGGAAGCAGCCACUCUGGACUGCAGCAAAGGCAAGAUGUGGGACUUAUUAAAGCCUGAAGGAGGGGCUACUUGGAGUUGAAACUCAGAACUAUUGCUUGGCAUGUGCUGGUAGCUCAGGAUACUAGGAGGGUCCUGUGGGGUGAUGCUGCUAUGGAUAUCUUUGAGAGGGCUCAAUGAGGCUAUUUCUGUGAGUCCUGGAGAGACCAUAAAAGCAGAUGCAGCUGCUUCUAUGAAAGAAACUGCUGCCUCCAGGGUGAUGGCGUGACAAUCACAAGAACAGGAGAAUGAAAAGAAGGAGCAAGUCUAUCCUUCUUCCUGCAAAAAGGUGAUCUGUACAGUCACAGUCCUACAAUCAUAAAGCAGAGCCCAGUGAUGCUGAAAGAUGGAAAUGGAUUGCCUGCCCCAGGAAGGUAAUGCGGAGAAGGCAAUGGCACCCCACUCCAGUACUCUUGCCUGGAAAAUCCCAUGGACAGAGGAGCCUGGUAGGCUACAGUCCAUGGGAUUGCACAGAGUUGGACACAACUGAAGCGACUUAGCAGCAGCAGCAGCAGCAGGAAGGUAAUGCAGGACAAAUCAGUGCAGCAGGUGAGAGCCAUGCAGUAAGAGUCCUCCACUCCCUUUUCUGAGCACCUAGACAUCUCACUGCAAACUAAUUAACUACUCUCCUUUUGAAGCCUCCUGAAGAGGCUUCAGAGCUCCAGAUUAACUAACCCCUUCAAUUCAUGUGAUUCUCAAAGGCAAAUGUGUGUAUUCUUAGCUUUCCUCCAGGUGCUACAAAUCCAGACAAAGGAGGCCUGGAUGAUGGCAGUCCUCAGCAUGGUCUCAGACAGAAAAAGGACCUUUCUCCCUCUCACAGCUCUCAUUCUGAGGAUCAUCCCUGAUCGAUUUAUUAGAUUAGAGCUGUUGCACUGUCUGCUAAUCAGAAAACACUUGAUUUAGCCUCAGGUGAUCUUCUUAGGUAAUUAGCUCGGGUACCUAACACCUGACUCCUCUUUCUAUUUGGAGAAGAUUUGAUAAUCCAUUUAUUCUUUCAGAAGGCCUGGGGACUGCUGGGAAUUUCAGUUAUGACCCAAGCUAAUUUUCGUGCUUAUAGGUGCAUAUUUAAUGAUCAGCACAGCCUGCUCUGUCUUUAGUCUGCAUUCAAUAUCAUCACACAGAGAUGUAGCUACAGAGUCCUUGCUGUUCUGAGCCUUUGUCUUUUUUUUUUUUUUUUUUUGCCUUUGUCUUGAGUCCAGAGACUCGGGUUCAAAAGAGUUCUUAAGAAACUUCUCAGAGGUUCCUGGGGUGUUAUUGAGUGCAAGCCAAUUACCAGUUCACAAAGCUGGUUUCUCCAUUUACAGCUCUAGAAGGAGAGCAGGAAAAGGAGGAAGCAAAGACAUAUUCAGCUCUUACUCUUUAUCAGAAUAUCUAUGUCUAUAUAUAUGUAUUUCAAAAAGAUGGAAACUCUGAAGUUGGCAGUGUUCUCUGAAGGAAAAGCAUAAGUAAGAAAAAACACAAAAUUAUACAGAAAAGAAGAUUGGAUCCGGGAAUUCAAGUCGAACUGGCCAAAAAAUAAUCCACAUACUUUCUACCAUAUCAUGACACCUGCUGCCCUGCAAAAUGUGAUGAAAAAUUCACCACAGUUUCUGCAUACCUCAUCACCUGUCCCAGGACUUACCCCUAGUGAGCUGAGAGUCCUCAUCUCCAGUGAAUUUUGAGAAGAGACAGCAAGGGAUCAACAAUUGAUGGGAAAAUAUAGGACAAGCUUGCAAUCUGAUCACUGUCAAAGCCUUUUGCUAUUUCUCCUAAAUGCAUUUGCAAGCACCUUGGCAACUGACUUGCUGCACUUCGGACACAGGAACCUGUACACAAAGGAAAAGGAACAAGUACAUGAUUCUGAAACUGAGAUGGGAAUCACUGGAUGAAUUUCAGUGCCUGACUUGGUCAAGGCUUCCAUUUCAAUGAGGCAUUCCCUUCCAAGACGGGGUCUCCAGCAAACAUGUUUCCAGCCUUCCAACUAGAUGAAGAGCCAGGCUACCUCUCCCCACUGAGGCUCC